CCUACGGGAGGCAGCAGUGGGGAAUAUUGCACAAUGGGGGAAACCCUGAUGCAGCGACGCCGCGUGAGUGAAGAAGUAUUUCGGUACGUUAAGCUCUAUCAGCAGGGAAGAAAAUGACGGUACCUGACUAAGAAGCCCCGGAUAACUACGUGCCAGCAGCCGCGGUAAUACGUAGGGGGCAAGCGUUCUCCGGAUUGACGGGGUGUAAGGGGAGCGUAGACGGCAGCGCAAGUCUGGAGUGAAAUCCCAGGGCGUAACCAUGGAACUGCUGUGGAAACUGUGCAGCUAGAGUGCAGGAGAGGUAAGCGGAAUUCCUAGUGUAGCGGUGAAAUGCGUAGAUAUUAGGAGGAACACCAGUGGCGAAGGCGGCUUACUGGACUGUAACUGACGUUGAGGCUCGAAAGCGUGGGGAGCAAACAGGAUUAGAUACCCUUGUAGUC
rnacentral:rRNA from 1 species